CAUGCAUGUCGAACGCCCCGCAAGGGGAGUGGCAGACGGGUGAGUAACGCGUGUGGAAUCUACCCUUUUCUACGGAACAACUGAGGGAAACUUCAGCUAAUACCGUAUACGGCCGAGAGGCGAAAGAUUUAUCGGAGAAGGAUGAGCCCGCGUUGGAUUAGCUAGUUGGUGGGGUAAAGGCCUACCAAGGCGACGAUCCAUAGCUGGUCUGAGAGGAUGAUCAGCCACACUGGGACUGAGACACGGCCCAGACUCCUACGGGAGGCAGCAGUGGGGAAUAUUGGACAAUGGGCGCAAGCCUGAUCCAGCCAUGCCGCGUGAGUGAUGAAGGCCCUAGGGUUGUAAAGCUCUUUCACCGGUGAAGAUAAUGACGGUAACCGGAGAAGAAGCCCCGGCUAACUUCGUGCCAGCAGCCGCAGUAAUACUAACGGGGCUAGCGUUGUUCGGAUUUACUGGGCGUAAAGCGCACGUAGGCCGACUAUUGAGUCAGGGGUGAAUCCCGGGGCUCACCCCUGACUGCCUUUGAACUGGUGUCUUGAGUUCGAAGAGGUGAGUGGAUUCCGAGUGUGAGGUGAAUUCGUAUAUUUCUCAGGACACCAGUGGCAAUGCGCUCACUGCUCGAUCUGGCGCUCAGUGCAAAGCGUGGGAGCAACAGAUUAGUACCUGGUAUCACGCCUAACUACAGAGUAGCCUCCGCCGAUAUGUUCGCGCUUGCUAAGCAUAACUCUCACUGGCAGACGGUUCAGAUAAACUCAAUGAUUGCGGG
rnacentral:rRNA from 1 species